UUUGCACGGGGUGUUCAUUGUUUGGUCAGUUCUACGCUAGACUUCGAUCAGUAAACUUGUGUUCGUGUACAAAUCCUACAUCGUGUUGUCGACUUUAGCAGAACACAGGGUGUCCAUGCUGCAAGAUUUGGAACGCAUCAUAGAAAAGAUAAGUUCUAAAAGAUACGUAAAUCUGUUAAAUCCGAUUUACUGAAUCUCGAGCAUAGUAUCGAGUGUUAAGAAGUAGUAACAGAGUUGAAACGAUGUAUAUUUCAAGUAACAAUUUCAGCACUAGAGAAAGCCGAUCAAUUUACAAAUAGAAAUACUGAUGGCACGUGACCGAAAUUUCACAGGUCAUUAAUGGUAGAACACGACAAAAGCUUUCGAACUUACUGGGGAAUAAAUUGCUAUUCUUUGUGGUGUUGUAUACAUUCUAUAUGUAUAUGUGUAAAUGUUUUACGAGUCUGAUGACGUAAUGUUAUUUGCAGAAAAAUGCAAGGUAGAGGCGAUGGCAUAUAAAAAGGCGGAAACAUAACGCCACGCGGCGCUCUUGACGGGUCAUAUCAGAACCCGGAAGCUUCAUCUAACAUCGCAACACAAGGGGCUGAAACUCAAUUACCAUUGAGACGCACAGGACUAUGUUUCGCAUGUGGCGAACCGGGUCAUCGGAAAGGAGCAGCUGGAUGUUCAGCAAACAGCUCGACCAAUAAGAAAUGUUUUGAGAGGUACUCUGAAGGAGCGAUUAGAGGGCUCGGGCUUGCAUGGGCUUCGAAGAGAUUAGAUGGCGGACAGAAUUGCUAAGUAAAUACUUAAAACAAUCAAGAGCAGACAAUACGGUGAAGAAAAGAAUUCUUCAUGUGCACAUUUCAAAUACUGUGAAGAAAAUGUAGUCACCAUGCCAGCCUUACAUAUAUCAGUAGUAAUGUACAUGGCUCAAUUGAUGGAUUGAGGAAAUCUAAUAACGUUUUUUACAUCUGUGUUUUACAGUAUUAAAUGGAUCCAUGCUAUUAAUAGUGUACAUGAUCCAAAGAAAGAUUUAACAAACUAUUAUAAGAAGCUUCAAAACGUGUGUGUUUCAAACCAUCUUACAAGAAAGAUGUAUCAUGGACAUGUGCAUUCAUUAGAGAUGAUAUAAACAUUGUGUUUGAUAUAAGGAGAUUCCAUUGUUUUCAUUGAUAGAUCAUUUUUGGGUUAUGCAUGUACAUGUAUCAUGCAUAUUAUCAAAUUAAGUGAGUUUCAUUGUAAUGACCUACAAUUGAAAUCUGAUCACUUUGUUAUUAAUGUACGCCAUUAUAAUACUGGCAUGUAUACGAAUGGUUCGGAUAUUAUAAUUGCAAAAUGUACAACUUCCCAUAUGGCGUUUUAUUAACAAAUAUGUAAUUAGCAAAUUGGUCAGAUGAAUCAAAUGAUUUUUUGUUCUAACCAGUUAUUGGUUAUAUAUAUGUAAUUAUUUAAACUAGCUAACGCCGAGGGCGUGUUUUAGAGAUGUUUAAAGCGACAUGGUCGAUGGAAGUCUGAUAGGGCUAAAGAUGGGUACAUUGAUGAUUCUCUAGACAAAAAGCUUUUUAUCACUAGACAAUUGAAAUUAUAAUUGAUUUGCGGUUCGAAUUUAAAACUUUACUAACCUUUGUUUUUAUUCUAUCGCAAGCCUUGCCCAAUGCAAAACGUGUUGUGUUUUGUGCUUAGUUGUAUGAAGACUUUUCAGUUCUGUGCGUUACGGAGGUUUUUUUUGUGCAUUUUUUCCGUUUUUUUGGAAGAUAAUGUAAUAAAUGUCCACACCCCCACACUAUACACCCCUCUUCACUCCACCCCUCCCUCCUUUGUGAUUGAAAUUGAGCGUCCCUUCACCUUAAAAAAGAAUAUAGAUGAGCGGUCUGCACCCGCAAGGCGGUGCUCUUGUUUGUUUUUCAUGAUAAAUAAUAAAUAUUUCAUUAAUAUAAUAAUGUAUUUUACAGUGUUAUUAAUUUCUGGUAUUUUAAAAGUAUUUAAACCGAAACUGAUAUUUAAGAGGGACAGUUUUAUUUUUAAUUGUUGUUUCUCUAGAAAAGUUGUCAAUUGGUUCCAUAUAGUUUGAAUAUGUUUACAUUCCCUGUAAAGGUGUUCUAUUGUUUCAAUAUGUUCACUGUAUAUAUCACAAUAAUUUGUGUUGGAUAGGUUGCACUUAAAAAGAUAUUUAUUUGUAGCUAUGAUUAUAUGGACAUAUUUAUAUUGAAGAUUUCUCAGUGUGCUAUCUAUAGUUAUUUUAUAUGGCAUGAUAAAUAUUUGUUUCCAAUAUAAUUCAUGUUCUCGAAGAAGGAUUUGCCAUUUACUUUGAAUUUUGGAGUUUUCUACAGGUUUUUUAAUUUGUAGUGUGUAUAAUAUUUUGUUCGUUUUGUUUUGUUUUGCAAGUAUGUUUUUUUACGAAUGAUGUUUGAGCGCAUGGUGUGUUAUUUGUAUCGGUUAUAGAUUUAACAUGUAUGGGUAUGCUUUUGAUUAAUGUGUAAUACAUAAGGAAAUUGCUUGAAGGUAUUCCGUAUAUGUAACAUAUAUAAUCAAAAGAAUAGAAGUCCUUAAUUCUGUAAUAGUACAAUCGGUCGACAUAUUUAAUGUUUCGUUCAAACCAAUGUUUAUAGAAAAACGUCUUAUUAUUUAAAGUUAUGUCUUUAUUGUUCCAUAAAAUAGUUCGAGGGUUUGGCGCAAAACUAUUGUAACUCUGAUUUUUUCUCAAAACCACUUUCCACUUAAAUUGUACAUAUUUUCAUACCCUGCAUCCAUAAAAAAAUAUGACAGUUAUAUAAUAAACAUGUAUAAUUUUAUAGUGAUCCAGCAAAAAUGUUGUAUCUAAAAUAUGUAAAAAAUGUAUUGCAACACUAUUGUAUUUCAAGAUACAUUAGUGUUGCAAUAACAUAUUUGAAUCCAAACAAAAAGUCAAUUUGCAAUACUAUGGUAGUUAUAUUUUCCUUUUUAUUGCAACACUAUUGUUACUCAAGAUACAAUAGUUUUGCAAAUUAAUUUGCAUGUAUUUUCAUAUAAAUAUAUUUUGUGCAAAACUAUUGUAACUUGAGUUACAAUAGUACUGAACCAAGUUUUACUGCAUUUCCAAUAUAUUUUCAGUGUAAAUAACAUUACGGAUGUUUGAAUUUACACAGGUACAUAAGUUUAAGUAUGGCAUUUCUGACUAUGAUAAGUAACAUUUUGGAUGUUUUAAUGUAUACCGGUACAUUAGGAUAGGUAUGGUAUUCCUGACAGUGGUAGAAAACAUUAAGGAUGUUUGAAUUUACACGGGUACAUUAUUCAAGGUAUGGUAUAUCUGACUAUGGUAACUUACAUUAAGAAUGUUUAAAUUUACACGGGUACAUUAGUCAAGGUAUGGUAUUUCUUACUAUGAUAAAUAACAUUAAGGAUGUUUGAAUUUACACGGGAAUAUUAUUCAAGGUAUACCGGUACAUUAGGCUAGGUAUGGUAUUCCUGACUAUAAUAAAUUACAUUAUUAGGAUGUUUGAAUUUACACGGGUACAUUAGUCGAGGAAUGGUAUUCCUGACAGUGGUAGAAUACAUUUAGGAUGUUUGAAUUUACACGGGUACAUUAUACAUUAUUCAAGGUAUGGUAUAUCUGACUAUGGUAAAUAACAUUAAGAAUGUUUAAAUUUACACGGGUAUAUUAGUCAAGGUAUGGUAUUUCUUACUAUGAUAAAUAACAUUAAGGAUGUUGGAAUUUACACGGGUAUAUUAUUCAAGGUAUGGUAUUUCUGACUAUGGUAAAUAAUAUUCAGGAUGUUUGAAUUAACACCUGUACAUUAGUCAAGGUAUGGUACUCCUGACUAUGAUAAAUAGCAUUUAAGAUGUUUGAAUUUACACGGGUACAUUAGUAAAGGUAUGGUAUUUCUGACCAUGAUUAAUAACAUUUAGGAUGUUUGAAUUGACACGGGUACAUUAGACAAGGUAAAGUAUUUCUGACAAUGAUAAAUAACAUUUAGGAUGUUUGAAUUUGCACGGGUACAUUAGUCAAGGUAUGGUAUAUUAUUAGGAUGUUUGAAUUUACACGGGUACAUUAGUCGAGGAAUGGUAUUCCUGACAGUGGUAGAAAACAUUUAGGAUGUUUGAAUUUACAAGGGUACAUUAUUCAAGGUAUGGUAUAUCUGACUAUGGUAAAUAACAUUAAGAAUGUUUAAAUUUACACGGGUACAUUAGUCAAGGUAUGGUAUUUCUUACUAUGAUAAAUAACAUUUUGGAUGUUUGAAUUUACACGGGUAUAUUAUUCAAGGUAUGGUAUUUCUGACAAUGAUAAAUAAUAUUCAGGAUGUUUGAAUUAACACCUGUACAUUAGUCAAGGUAUGGUACUCCUGACUAUGAUAAAUAGCAUUUAAGAUGUUUGAAUUUACACGGGUACAUUAGUCAAGGUAUGGUAUUUAUGACCAUGAUAAAUAACAUUUAGGAUGUUUGAAUUGACACGGGUACAUUAGUUAAGGUAUGGUAUUCCGGACUAUGGUAAAUAAUAUUUAGGAUGUUUGAAAUUACACAGGAACAUUAUUGAAGGUAGAGUAUUUCUGACUGUGGUAAUUUGCAUUAAGGGUGUUUGAAUUUACAUGGGUACAUCUGAGUAUGAUAAAUAACAUUUAGGAUGUCUGUAUUUACACCGGUACAUUAGUCAAGGUAUGGAAUUUCUGAUUAUGGUAUAAAUAGCUAUGGUUGCAAGAGGUUACAAAUAUCAUUAACUGGUUAACCUUUUUCCGUAACCGGUUAUUAACCAUAUUUUUUAGGGAUGGCAACGAAUACCGAUUUUGGUAUUCGAAUAUUCGGUCAUCCUUCCGAACGAAUAUUCGGAUAUUCGGUCAACAUCUGUUGGAAAAAAUGUCAACUUUGUUUACCGUACCAUUACUCCAUGAAUUCUACUUUCGUUUUACCGGAAGUGCACCGGAAGUGACUAAAUAUUGACACAGCGUUGCCGUCGAUAAUUCGAAGCUGAUUUUGUUGAUUACUUUUUAUUGUUAAAAUUGAAUGACAAAAACUGUUUUUAAACUAUUAAUAUUGUACAUCAACAAUAGAACGAGAAACAUAAUAUUACAUGACGACAAAAUAAUUACAUGACAAAACAGAACUUAAACGAAUUAUGUACAUAGCCACAACACACUUUGAACCUGAUUAACAGACUAAACAGUCAGUCUUUUAAAGUUGCCACGUUUAAAAGUCACUUGGAUCGGCGACUUCUUAUCGGAUGAUGUCGUGAAAUACUUCCAAGCAGCGGAAGGCGUAGGUGGAAUUUUGCUUGGACAGAGAUUUACUUUAUGCGUGUAGCAAUUAUAAUACUUUCAAUUAAAUGAGGGCGAACUACCAAAAACAUUUCUUUAAGUAUAAUACCUGAUUGAAUAUUGAGUAAUUAAUUAAAGUUUGGACCAAACGAUACGCAAAUACUCAUUAGAGGUUGAGUAAAUUAUUUUCUAAAAGCUUUUUUGAUUGGACAACGUGAUUAUAACCAUACGAUCUUUUUUGUUUUUCACACAAAGCCGGCUCUUCUUUAACUCAUUUAAUCUUUGAUCAUUUUAAAUGUAAUUUGAGUUAUUAGAUCGAGACGGGUCGGUGGUUUAUAUGCCAUACGGUCUUAUUUGUUUUUUACACCAAGUUGGCUUUUCCUUUGCUCAUUUUAUCUUUGCUAAUUUUAAAUGUAAUUCGAGUCAUUGGAUCAAGUUCAGGUCGGUGUUUUGAUUGCCGACGCGAUUUGCACCUAUCAUAAUUUUGACACAAAGUGUCUAUCUUUGUUAGGCAAUUAGCGGGAUUUAUGACCGGUAUACUGUCAUCACCAUAGCGACGCAUUAUCGCGCGUAGCAGGAAUAAACAUUAUGACACGAGGAACAACUUUUUUUUACAAAGUUUGAAGCAAAUUUCACGGAUACAAAGUCUUUGAAAUUACUCGAUUUUUGUAUUUUUUCUUUCGAAUAUUCGAUUCGGAAAACUGUAUCCGAAUAUUCGGUCCGGGACCUAAUAUUCGGAUAUUCGGAUAUUCGUUGACAUCCCUAAUAUUUUUUAAAGAUUUUUUGGUAGAAUAAUUUCCAUUUACUCGUGUUUGUGUUAUCUAGGUAUCUUUUAACCCAGCCGCAUUUUAUUGCAUUUAAGAAUGAGUCAAUGUCUGUUAAUUUGGUAUCUUCAUUAUAUACAGAUUGAAUUAACUGAGUUCGUUUAAUUUUAUCAGGUUUACCGUCCCAUAUGAAAUAAAAUAUUUCUGAUUUUAUAUCGUUAAUAAUAUCAUUUGGUGGAUUUGGGAGAACUGUUUGUACAUAAACUAAUUAAGGGAGUGCAAACGUUUCCAAUACUGUGUUUUUCCGAUUAAUAUAAGUUUACGGUGAUGCCAGCAUUUUAAGCAGUUUUUUAAUUUCUGUAAUUUAGGUAGUACGUGGUGGCUUCAUCUGAUGUCCAAUUGAAUUUCUUUUUUUUUAUGAUGGACAUUACUUUGUUUUAAUUUACCUACUCGUAGCACAGUUCAUUAACUUUUGUUUAGUUUAAGACCCGAUGUCGUUUCGAAAAGGGUUAGCGACUCUAUUAGGUUAAUGAAUGAGUCACUAUUGUCAUUUAAGAUAUAAGUUGCAUCGUCAGCAAAUAGGGACUGUUUAAUUUCGGCGUCACGUUCUAUGCAGACUUUUAAUUACAUAUCAAUUGCUAAUUAUUUCAUAAGUUUUGCAAUCAAAUAACUGUAUAUCUGUAUACAUAGUUUGAUAUAACAAUUGCAUUUUAGUAUAAUGACAUGCAAUGGGAAUACAACAAAUCUUUGAUCAAUUAAAAAAAGAUAAAGGAAAUAACAUACCGGUUUUUCAAUGUUAUAUUACUUAAGGUAAAUCUACUUUUGUAAAUAUUAAAGAUACAUGUCAUGUCAAGACUUCAGUGUUCAUUUUCACUUGCAACUGGAAUGUGACAUUGUAUCAAUGAUAACAUUAUUGUAAUACAAUCAUUUAUUUUAUGCUUACUGUUGUCAAGCAAAUAGCAUUAAAUAAAAAGAAAAUUUGUUUAUUUUGAUGGAAGCUUUAAAUUAAUUAAAUCUGAUGAGCACCAGACAUGACAUUUUCACCCAUGGCUUCGUCCCUCAUAUAAAUAUUGCAUCUGGUGCUCACUUGAUGACAUAAAUUUCAUCUUCCGCUCAAAAACAAAUAUCCCUUAUGUACAAAGCUAAUGAUUUCAUGAAAUCAUGUUAUUGUUCCAAUGUCCUUCAUGAUAUAGGAUUAUCAAGCUAGUUUGCAUAAUAAAUAUGAUAAUUGCUCUAUUUAAUGUGGCUGAACUUCAGAUUUAUGCCAAAAAUACUUUAGUUUGGAUUAAAGAUCAGCCCUGAAAUGGCUAUAUUAGACAAAAAAAGAGAAAAGGAAAAAACAAGUUUUAAGCUGGAUUCAAACUUGGACUGCACAACAGAUGCAAUUAUGUUUGCUGUUACUUGUUUCAAUGAUAAAGUAAAUGUAAUAAACUGUGGCAAAUCAGGUUACUUUAUGACAAAUGGUAUAGAAUUCCUAUUGAUAUGAAUGCAUCAAGCUUACCAGUUUAAUUUGCUUCUGUGACAAAAAUAUAGUAAUUCACUAAGUUUUGAAAUAAUAGUUUAAAACUUUAUAAUAGUUUGUUUGCCUUGGACAAUCGAGAGUUAACUUAAAGCUUCUGCAACACAUAUAAGGUCUUAAAGUUAACAGCAUGGAUCCUUGUGAGAUUGAGCGGAUGCGCAGGCUCAUCUUGACCCAUGCUGGUCGCAAACACCAAAGGUUGGUUUCCGCAUAGCAAGGCUCAGUAAUUCCUUACUAUUUUAGUUACACGUACUUCUGAUGACUGCCAGUUCCUAGGUCUAGUUUUAUUAUAAGACAUAAGGCUUUGUGAAAGUGAUCCCUGGUAGUAACAUGAAACACUAUCCUAAUACUGUUUACAUUAUAUCAGCUCAAUAAACUGUUGAUUGAAGUUAAAUGUCUUUUUGCUUGGGAUUCCAGUACCCUGAUUAUGGACACCUGUGUUAUUUUGUAAGGUACCAGUCUUGUCAGUUGUAAGUACCUGGCCAGUCAUGGUUUGCGUUUUCUAAAGUUGAAAUGAAACCAACCGCCCCAUUGAAGUAUACUUAAUUUAAUGUUAUUGAAAGAUUUCUUUUCUUCUUUAUAAUUAAAUUAUACAAUUAAGGUUAUAAACAAAAGGACAUGACCAUGUUAAAUCAUCCCUUUAUUACAAUGUUUCUUGGAUAUUGCAAAACCAUCAAAUUUUGAUUCAAGUUACAAUAGUUUUGCACCAAAGUAUUUUGGCUAAAGGAAUAAAUUUUAACGCAACAGUAUUGUAUCUUGAUAUUCAUCUAAUACAUUUAAAUGAAUCAAUAACUAAACAAUUAAAGUGUUAACUGUAAUGUUUAAAUUCAGUUUUAAAUACAGUUAUUUACUACCUGUUCUAGUCUGGUUUUAAUCAGGACGUGAAAAUUAGGGAAACAAGGAUGUUUUUUCCAUCUCCUCUAAAAUUCUCAAAAUCUGAGUUACAAUAGUUUUGCGCCAAACCCUCGAAUUGUCAUUUGUUUGCGCCACAUGAAGUUAUCGUCAUAUUGAUUUGUCACAAAGGAAACUGUGCUGAAAAUGUCAAAAUUAUCAUUAAGCCACGCUCUCUGAAAAUGGGGUUUACUGCAUGUGCAUAAAGUGUCAUCCCAGAUGAGCCCGUGCUGUCCGCAAUGGCUAAUCAGGGACGACACUUUCCGCCUAAACUGGAUAUUUGCGAUGAAGAGAUUUUCUUUAAAAGAAAAAUGUAAUAAAAGUAGAAAGUGUCGUUCCUGAUAAGCCUAUGCGGACUGGCUUUUCACAGACCACGGCCCAUAUGUAAAACGUCUAUGCUGUGGGAGAUGUACAAUAAACAGUAAACAUA